rnacentral:rRNA from 1 species
CCUACGGGGGGCUGCAGUGGGGAAUAUUGGGCAAUGGGCGCAAGCCUGACCCAGCAACGCCGCGUGAAGGAAGAAGGCUCUCGGGUUUUUAACCUCCUUUUUCAGGGACGAAGCAAGUGACGGUACCUGAUGAAUGAGCCACCUCUAACUACGUGCCACCAGCCGCGGUAAUACGUGGGCGGCAAGCGUUAUCCGGAUUUACUGGGUGUAAAGGGCGUGUAGGGGGGAGUGCAAGUCAGAUGUGAAAACUAUGGGCUUAACCCAGAGCCUGCAUUUGAAACUGUACUUCUUGAGUGCUGGGGAGGCAAGCGGAAUUCCGUGUGUAGCGGUGAAAUGCGUAGAUAUACGGAGGAACACCAGUGGCGAAGGCGGAUUGCUGGACAGUAACUGACGCUGAGGCGCGAAAGCGUGGGGAGCAAACAGGAUUAGAUACCCGGGUAGUC